UUCUGUUGUUAUGCAAGCUCAGCCGUCAAAUCUGACGUUUGGCAAUCAGAGAAUUUUUCCCUCUUUAAGCAUAAGAGUAAAGAAGUUAGUAAAAUGUCGGCUGCAGCUAGUGCCACUAGGAAGCAGGAUAUGCCCCCAACGGGUGGCUAUAAGAAAAUUCCAUAUCUGCGCGUUCCAGCCAAGAGUUAUUUCACAGGUUUUCAAAUGCUGGCCGGGUACGCGGUUGUUACAGCCGCAGGAAUGUAUGUGUACUAUUUGACUGCCAAGCAAAUUCAUCGUGAAGAGAUAGAAAAUCGUUCUGCCCAAAAUGUCAUAUAUCCCUUGCUUAUAGCAGAACGUGAUCGUGAAUUUCUGAAGCAACUACGCCGUAAUCGCGACGAAGAAGCCAAAUUAAUGGCAAAUGUGCCCGGUUGGGAGGUUGGUACUUGGUAUGGUGAGCCCGUCUACAAGACCCUUCCUAAAGACACACUUGUAACUCCCCUAUUCAAGGAAUUUUAUGCCCAUACUGAUUACAAAUCCUACGCCAAGCGCGCUCAUCUGAAACUGUGGUCUUAAGCACUUUUUCAAUCUUUAUUUUUAACGCCAUUCGGUAAAAAUCGAAAUAAAUCUUCGAAAUUGCAGUGGAUUAGCCAAUAAAUAAAAAAUUAAAAAAAAGAUAUUCAAGAACCGAGGACGCAUUUCAAAUCUAAAGUUGGUACUGUCCGUCGAACGUUGCCUCCAGAUAUAUCGAACGGUUUAAAUGACAUAUUUACAAAGUAUCAUCUAGCAAAUGAAAUAAACAAGUUACAAAUAACAUAAGGUA